rnacentral:lncRNA from 1 species
UGAGCUGUCUUUCGGGUCGGUCGAUCACGGUGCUUGAGAAGGAGGCCUACUUCUCAGUACCUUUGAUGAUGAUGAGUUGUAGGUGUGGUACAUACAUGACGAGUAUUUUGACAGCUGUCGUUUAUUUAUGAUGUUUAUGAUUUUAACUGCUUGCACAGGUUCUUUUAAGAUAAAAUCCAUGUGUAUUGUUUAUGGCGGGCAAGUUCAAUUUAUAGCUCUAAGAGCAAGCUUUCAUUUGUUUUUCGGCAUAUGUCCACUGUGUAUUCUGUAUUCAGUUACAUGCAUUUCUAAACGUGCAUGAUAGGCAAGGAAGGAGAAUGGACUGCUGGUGGGGCUUAUGUUCUGGAUAUUUUCCUUAUCGUAUUUUUAUUUCUUACGGUAGUAUCAUGAUGUUGGAGUUUAUCUUGAACUUGAUCGAGAAAUUUACUCUCAGCUAUAUGUCUUCAUACAUAUAGUAUGUUCACAUUUUGUUGCGAUACUCUGCAUAAUAUGAACCUUUGUGAAUAUUUAACUAUGUCCUCUUUGUAAAUGUUGACGAGAAUCCCGAUGCUUUUGAAGUUAUGAAGCAGAUAAUAUUUAUAUUAAUAAUGAUGUCAUCUUUCUUGAUUUUAUCACGAUUCAGUGUUAGCUUCCGCUUGAUGAUCAAUCUAGUUUUCCCUAUUUACCUUAUUCUUGUAUUUAGUCGUAUCGUACCCAGUCUAUGCUAUCAUUGGCUAGACGUCGAGCUGCGACGGGUAUUUCCAAAGCCUCGGUAUCUCCAUGCAAAGUAGGCCGAAUCGAGUUGAACUUGUGCGGCAAAAUAUCCUAUUUUUUAAUGAUAGCAGGGGCUGCUAUUGAAGCGUAGGAGGCCUUGGUAGUGUG